GUGUGUGUAGGUUACGUCCAACGACAACGAGCAGGCGGCAAGUGUAUUGAUGAGCAAUGGGACGGUGGCAUGGAGCAGUUGAGUAGGUGUGCGUAGUUCAAGUUCACCAGUAUUUGUAAAUGCUGGUAGCAGUACUAGUAUUUACAAAUUUGUAACCUAAGAACUAAGCUUGCAUCUCGUUACUUCUAUGGAAGCACUGACCUCGUAAUUUUAUUGGACCAACCACUAACUUGAGAAUUAGACAUGGUGCUCAGUGUAUUCUCUCAAUCUUGGUUGUUCUUGCAGUGCUUAUAAGCUUGACAUCUUUGAUGAAUCCAGCCUGAACUGAAGCCUGUCGGUGAGCCGGGCGCUGGGCCAACCACUGUCGUCUAUCUACCUCCUUCCCCGGUGAGCUCAUGCUCUUCUGCUCUUGACGCUUGAACUGCCUGCAAUUCUUUUCUCUGUUUGAAAAUUCCCAAAGCAUCAGUACUUUGUAUCAGGAUACACCAUGUUAUUUCUGCAAAUUUCCAUUAUGCUUGUAUGUCCAAAAUGUGUGCAUUUACUACUUUUGAUUUGUUGUAGUGCAGAGAAGUUACCCUGUUGCGGGCUGACCUGGAGGCGGCUCCUCCAUGUUGACACAAUUGCAGGACCAACGUGCUACUGACCACGCAAGCUU
rnacentral:lncRNA from 1 species